rnacentral:tRNA from 4 species
GCGCCCGUAGCUCAGCUGGAUAGAGCGUCGGACUUCUAAUCCGUUGGUCGCAGGUUCGAAUCCUGCCGGGCGCGCCA